ACUCUGGCUUCUCAGUUGCGUCUUAUCCUAUGCUCGCUCGGCGAAGUACGCAUACAAGCCAAUGCCAUCCUCGGACUCGUUUGGGGGCGGGGUUAUUCUCACAUCACCAAGUGUCUUGCACUAUUUGGGUGUUCCACUCGGAUUCUGCGUGAUCAUUUUCCUAGCCAUGUUCAUAGUGUACCCUGUCCUGUACAAAGCUGCGGGUAACCGGAGCUACCUAGACAGCGACUUGGUGAAGUGGGUGAUCAUAGGAUCAAGUGUGGUAUGUGGCGUCCUCGCAUGGGAAAUGAGGCUUUUCACAAACAUUCGAGAAGAUAUUAAGAGUGUCAUGCGGCCCACAGUCAACCCCGAAGCACCAGUUCCGGAUUUUGUUCCGGAUGCAUGGAGUGGUGGUGCCUCACAGCUGGACGCCCUCCAAGUGUUUUUCUUUGCAACAGUACUGCUGAACAAGUUUCUCUUUUGGUUUCAGGAGAAUUGGAUGUCAAAAAUGUACGUGAUGAAGCACCCAGAGAUGGUCAGUACCGUGGGAGGAUUUCGCCUGGAUGAGAUUCCUUUCAGAGCUGUACUCCCGUCCGGAUUCAUUAUCACCACGACGGUGGGGCUUCCUAGCAUCGUGAUUGUUACGAACGCGCUGUUAAUUAAAUCAAUCAAUGUAGUUACAGUAGACGGAAUUGGCAAUCAUUAUGUACAUGAAUCAUUUGUGCGUCAUUGGGCUUUUGAAAAUUACUAUCAGCGCGCCGCAUGGCAUUUUCUUGUCACUUUAUGUUUAGUUUAUCAUCCUUACUGUAGGGUACGUACAAGUAAGUAAGCAGACACGAAUAAUCAUUAAGAAAAUAAAGACCCAAAAUCGAUAAUAAUAGAGCGACCCAAAGAUGCGGUCGUAAAUCUUGGCGACGAUGAGUCGUUGAUAGUUAAGAAAAUAGAAUUGCGAUAAGCAGACAGAGACAGUAAAAAUUGCCGGGUACAGAUGCAAGUGCGUCAUGGCACAGUAAGACCCAGGCAGAAAAUUGUAGUAUAUAAGACCUUUGGUAAGAAAUAAAGUUAGUUCUUAGCUUCAUCUCAUGUGAGUCAGUCCUUGAAAUCCGAAAGCACACUACCUCUUGUUAAUGUUCGGUUCGCCCCAAACAUUUUGGUGUCAGUCCAGAGAGGAAAAAAAUGAACUCAGGAAGUGUUGAGGGUGAGGUGUUGCCGGCGCCUGAAGAUCGGCAAGUGGUUAUGAACUCCGGCAGUAACUCUGCCGUAAACAUAAAACAAGUGAAAAAAUGGUCGUAAGUCGCUGAGUCGCAGGCAAAAUGAGUGUGUUCCGGAAAAGUCGUAAGUCGCUGAGCCGCAGACAAAGUGAGUGUGUUCCGGAAAAGUUU